rnacentral:rRNA from 1 species
UCGUUUGUUACGUCGGAUGUGAAAACCUGAGGCUCAACCUCAGGCCUGCAUUCGAUACGGGCAAACUAGAGUUUGGUAGGGGAGACUGGAAUUCCUGGUGUAGCGGUGGAAUGCGCAGAUAUCAGGAGGAACACCAAUGGCGAAGGCAGGUCUCUGGGCCAAUACUGACACUGAGGAGCGAAAGUCUGGGGAGCGAACAGGAUUAGAUACCCUGGUAGUCCAGACCGUAAACGGUGGGCACUAGUUGUGGGAACCUUCCACGGUUUCUGCGACGCAGCUAACGCAUUAAGUGCCCCGCCUGGGGAGUACGAUCGCAAGAUUAAAACUCAAAGGAAUUGACGGGGCCCCGCACAAGCAGCGGAGCAUGCGGCUUAAUUCGACGCAACGCGAAGAACCUUACCGAGGCUUGACAUAUAGGGAAAAGUGGCAGAGAUGUCAUGUCCGCAAGGGCUCUAUACAGGUGGUGCAUGGUUGUCGUCAGCUCGUGUCGUGAGAUGUUGGGUUAAGUCCCGCAACGAGCGCAACCCUCGUUCUGUGUUGCCAGCAUUUAGUUGGGGACUCACAGGAGACUGCCGGGGUUAACUCGGAGGAAGGUGGGGAUGACGUCAAAUCAUCAUGCCCCUUAUGUCUUGGGCUGCACGCAUGCUACAAUGGCCGGUACAGAGGGCUGCAAUACCGCAAGGUGGAGCGAAUCCCAAAAAGCCGGUCUCAGUUCGGAUUGAGGUCUGCAACUCGACCUCAUGAAGUUGGAGUUGC